AUGCCGCAGCAGCACAGCAGCAGUAGCAACAACAACAACAACCUGUCCAGGGUUAAAAAAAACACAAAGUUAGGAAGGCCUUGCAACUCACAUAGACGAAGCUCAAACGGAGGUUUACUUUUCUUCAGAGGUUGUUGUACUGGUGGGCAGGCCCCAGGGUCGGGACUGCGACGACGACUACUACCAAGGACAGCAGCAGCAGGCCAGGAUAACUCCUUGCCGCGGGCCCACGGUAUCUGCAGAUCUACUACAAACUGCAAACAUGUGAAGAUAUGUCUGGCCUCGCUUAUCCUAUAUCAGAGUGGGGGUGGGGGGUGGGGGGUGGCGAUUUGA
rnacentral:rRNA from 1 species